AGGGCUAUCGCCAAAUGGUAAGGCAAUCGGUUUUGAUCCGAUUAUGUGUAGGUUCGAGUCCUACUAGCCCCA
rnacentral:tRNA from 1 species